rnacentral:rRNA from 1 species
CCUACGGGAGGCAGCAGUGGGGAAUAUUGCGCAAUGGGGGCAACCCUGACGCAGCAACGCCGCGUGAUUGAUGAAGGUUUUAGGGUUGUAAACACCUUUUAUGGGGGAAGAUAAUUAAGGGUACUCGAAGAAUAACCCCCGCCUAACCACGUGCCAGCAGCGGCGGUAAUACGGAGGGAGCAGGCGUUAUCCGGAUUUACUGGGUGUAAAGGGUGGGUAGGCGGGCAUGAAAGCCAGAUGUGAAAUCUGGUGGCUUAACCCCCGAACUGCUUUUGAAACUUCGAGUCUUGAGUGAUGGAGAGGUAGGCGGAAUUCUUGGUGUAGCGGUGAAAUGCGUAGAUAUUGAGAGGAAUACUCGUGGCGAAGGCGGCCUACUGGACAAUUACUGACGCUGAGGCACGAAAGCGUGGGGAGCAAACAGGAUUAGAUACCCGAGUAGUC